rnacentral:lncRNA from 1 species
CAUACAUAACACAUGAUCAUUUACUAUUAUUUUUUAGUUUUUAUUUACUUAUAAUAACAACAACAACGAAUCUGACACAUACACUACUAGACAUGGGGCUAACUUGAGCUUAAUAUGAAUAUAAAAGCUUUAUCUUUGAAAUAAACCGCAUGAUCAUCAAAGAAUUGGUAGGAAUAUAAUGACUUAAAUGAGUCUACCACGAGCAAGGGAACCAGGUCCCUUACAGAAUCAGUACAUAAACAAGGAAUAAAUAAAAGUACUGAAGAUAAAGGACACACAAUGUUUACAUGGAAACCUCCUUACUCAAGGAAGGAAAAAUCACGAUCUGUAUCGUAGGAUUUCCACCAAGCCCCAUUAUAUUCGAGCCAAAAGUGUGAUUGCAGACUCCAAUAAUCACAAGGAUUAAACUCUUAAUCCCAUCCACCUUGUAACACCUCUAUUACAAGUGUAGUGCAGCAACUCUACUACAUCGUUUAAAUUAACUAACUCUAGUUGACUCACUAGGUAACUAUACCCCGAAUAACAAAUGUUGUGAUGAAGAAAACAUGACCAAAAAAAAGCGCAAUUGAGUAACUAACUCUAGUUGACGCGACUAAUCUUAAGAGCAUAGAUAGACCAAUACGUACAAUUCUUUAUAGCUCAAAGUAGGUUUAUACAAACGAAAUGAAAGACUCAACCCAUAAAUCAAAAAAAAAACAGAAUAAACUCAAGCAGGUCCCUUCUGAGAGUGAGCAAAAAUAUUGAGGACUUUUGAUUGAGAGAGA